GACAGGAUUCCAGUACAGGUCUCUCAUUUGCUUCAUGAUUAGGAAUACUACUUUGAAAUGAGAGACCUGUACUGUAUCUGUU
ensembl:miRNA